UCGGAAGGUGCGGCUGGAUCACCUCCUUUCUAGGGAGACAUACAUUAGGCCAAGCGCCUGGAUGUCACUUAGGUCGACACUUUGGCAGAUAAACGUAGCAUAAGCGCUAGCUGUAUCACACUUUAUAUUGUUCGGUUUUGAGAGAUUUGUAUAAACUCUCAAAACAGAUAUGGGCCUAUAGCUCAGCUGGUUAGAGCGCACGCCUGAUAAGCGUGAGGUCGGUGGUUCAAGUCCACCUAGGCCCACCAGUUGGUUCAUAUUACCUGAAAUAUUAUUAAUAGAGUACGGACAAAUUGAGCUAAUAUGCGGUGUAACUUAUUAUAAUAACGAUAUCUAAGGAUUGGAUUAUUGAAUACAAGUGAAACCAUUAUAUGGGGGCGUAGCUCAGCUGGGAGAGCACCUGCCUUGCAAGCAGGGGGUCAGGAGUUCGAUUCUCCUCGUCUCCACCAUUUAGCAUACUUCAAUGGAGUAUGCUAGUAUACAAUGACAUAGGUCAGCGUAUUGUUCUUUGAAAACUGCAUAGAAGAAAGAUUAUAUAUGUAAGGUCUGCUUCUCAAUCGAGAAGAGGGACCGAACACAUAGGAUAAUUCUCUAAAUAACGGUGAAGUUACAUAAGUAACAACUACAAAACGACAAUGCAUAUGCAUUUGUUCCAGUAUCAAGUAAGUAAAGAUACUAAGGGCAUAUGGCGGAUGCCUUGGCGAUACUAGCCGAAGAAGGACGCGGUAAGCUGCGAAAAGCUACGGAGAGGUGCAAGCGACCUGAGACCCGUAG
rnacentral:misc_RNA from 1 species